rnacentral:rRNA from 1 species
UACGUAGGUGGCAAGCGUUGUUCGGAAUUAUUGGGCGUAAAGGGCGCGUAGGCGGUUUGACAAGUCUGAUGUGAAAUCUAUGGGCUCAACCCAUAGCCUGCAUUAGAAACUGUCGGGCUUGAGUAUGGGAGAGGUGAGUGGAAUUUCCGGUGUAGCGGUGAAAUGCGUAGAUAUCGGAAGGAACACCUGUGGCGAAAGCGGCUCACUGGACCAUAACUGACGCUGAGGCGCGAAAGCUAGGGGAGCAAACAGG